GACGAACGCUGGCGGCGUGCAUAACACAUGCAAGUCGAACGAUGAAGCUGGAGCUUGCUCCGGUGGAUUAGUGGCGAACGGGUGAGUAACACGUGAGUAAUCUGCCCUUGACUCUGGGAUAACUGCGGGAAACUGUAGCUAAUACCGGAUACGACACCUUCGGGCAUCCGAUGGGUGUGGAAAGAAUUUCGGUCAAGGAUGAACUCGCGGCCUAUCAGCUAGUUGGUGAGGUAAUGGCUCACCAAGGCGACGACGGGUAGCCGGCCUGAGAGGGGAACCGGCCACACUGGGACUGAGACACGGCCCAGACUCCUACGGGAGGCAGCAGUGGGGAAUAUUGCACAAUGGGCGAAAGCCUGAUGCAGCAACGCCGCGUGAGGGAUGAAGGCCUUCGGGUUGUAAACCUCUUUUAGUUGGGAAGAAGCGAAAGUGACGGUACCAACAGAAAAAGCACCGGCUAACUACGUGCCAGCCGCCGCCGUAA
rnacentral:rRNA from 1 species